rnacentral:rRNA from 1 species
CAAUAGCGUAUAUUAAAGUUGUUGCAGUUAAAAAGCUCGUAGUUGGAUUUGUGGCGUACGGUGUGUUCCGGGCACUUGUUGUCUGAGUAACCUGCUGUUGCCAUCCUUGGGUGGAACCUGUGUGGCAUUAGGUUGUCGUGCAGGGGAUGCCCAUCAUUUACUGUGAAAAAAUUAGAGUGUUCAAAGCAGGCUUAUGCCGUUGAAUAUAUUAGCAUGGAAUAAUGAGAUAGGACUUUUUUGCUAUUUUGUUGGUUUGCGCAAAGAGGUAAUGAUUAAUAGGGACAGUUGGGGGUAUUCGUAUUCCAUUGUUAGAGGUGAAAUUCUUGGAUUUUUGGAAGACGAACUACUGCGAAAGCAUUUACCAAGGAUGUUUUCAUUAA